AUUUGUGCUGCUUCUGCCAGACAUUUCUUGGCGAUAGAAACCAGGAGUGGAGAAAAGUGAAUGUUUUUCCUGAAACCUCUCAAGAGAAAAAUGGAGAAGCUGAAAGCCAUUCCCAUCUAAGAACUCAGAGGUGUCAGUUGUUUGCCUGCCGACGCUCUCAUGUGAACUAAGAGAAUGGAACCGGACAUUCGUGAAGUGCUCAGAGACCUAAGUUGCCUAGGCUCGUCUCAAACUCCUGGCCUCAAGUGAUCCUUCUAUCUCAGCCUCUCAAAAUUCUGGGAUUACAGCAAACAGACCUACCCAUGGAGAUGAAUGAAAAUCAGAACAAUGGAAGCUGAGUAAAUCAAACAUUUGGUGGAAUCAGGGUGAAAGUUUGAUGCCUCUAUCUCCAGAUCAGGAAUGGGCUCGCCAAUGGGACCAUGAUAUCAGAAGACAGUUCAUUUGUUUCCCCUCAUCCCGGCUGAAGUCUGGAUAAUCACUACCCAUGAUUAUCUGUGACUCCCUUUUUACUUGCCUGGCCAACCAAAAGUCACUGCCCAACCCCUGGCCUGAGUGCCUCUUGCUCAUUAAUCCUUUAAUGUAGUUACUGAAGAGCCUGUUAGUAAAAGCCAUCCUCUCAGCUUGUACUUUGAUCCUUAAAGUCAUCAAGAUCCUUAAAGUCAUCAUUCAAGAGCUGCACCGUAUUUCCAAGUUCUUGUUGAAGGCCUGCCUGUCUGUAACAGCCAAAUAGAAACUAGAGGCCGGGUGUGGUGGCUCAUGCC
rnacentral:lncRNA from 1 species